AUGAAGCCGGAAGUAGCGCUGUGAUUGGUGGCUCAGCCAGCCAAUGGGAAUAGCGGAAGUGGUUAAAAGGGGGCGGGUUUUGGUGGGCUGACGUCACUUCCGGCGCGGGAGCGGAGCGGCGCGAAAGUUUGGGGGGGGGGGGGGAGCGGGGGAAAGGGAACGAGCUGCCCGCCGCCGGAUGUGACGUCACGGGACCGGAAGUAUGGACGGGAAGGUCACGUGUUCCCCCUCCGCCCUCCGGGUGGCGCUGUGUGCCUGUUGGCAUGUCCUUCGUCGCCGUCGUCUUCGUCACCUCCCUCGUGUCCUGGCCCUAUUGGAGGCCGUGCUCAAAGCCGCCCCCAACGCCGUCACCCCACAACAUGGCGUCCGCCUCCGCCUCGGCCUGCAGGCUGCCCAUCCCUUGCGAUGACAAGAUGGC